rnacentral:rRNA from 1 species
GAUGAACGCUAGCGGCAGGCCUAAUACAUGCAAGUCGAACGGUGUAGCAAUACACAGUGGCGCACAGGUGCGUAACACGUAUGCAACCUACCUUACAUUGGGGGAUAGCCUUUCGAAAGGGAGAUUAAUACCGCAUAAGACAGUAACUAGGCAUCUAGUAGCUGUUAAAGAUUUAUCGAUGUAAGCUGGGCAUGCGUCCAAUUAGUUAGUUGGCGAGGUAAUGGCUCACCAAGACGAUGAUUGGUAGGGGAACGGAGAGGGCAAUCCCCCACACUGGCACUGAGAUACGGGCCAGACUCCUACGGGAGGCAGCAGUAGGGAAUAUUGGGCAAUGGGCGCAAGCCUGACCCAGCCAUGCCGCGUGCAGGAAGAAGGCGUUAUGCGUUGUAAACUGCUUUUAUACAGGAAGAAACGACCCUUGCGAGGGGCAUUGACGGUACUGUAUGAAUAAGCACCGGCUAACUCCGUGCCAGCAGCCGCAGUAAAAC